GACGAACGCUGGCGGCGUGCUUAACACAUGCAAGUCGAACGGAGCGGCGGACGGGUGAGUAAUGCCUAGGAAUCUGCCUGGUAGUGGGGGAUAACGUCCGGAAACGGGCGCUAAUACCGCAUACUAUCAGAUGAGCCUAGGUCGGAUUAGAUAGUUGGUGGGGUAAAGGCCUACCAAGGCGACGAUCCGUAACUGGUCUGAGAGGAUGAUCAGUAACACUGGAACGGAGAAACGGUCCAUACUCCGACGGGAGUCAGCAGGGGGGAAUAUUGGACAAUGGGCGAAAGCCUGAUCCAGCCAUGCCGCGUGUGUGAAGAAGGUCUUCGGAUUGUAAAGCACUUUAAGUUGGGAGGCGUUACCAACAGAAUAAGCACCGGCUAACUUCGUGCCAGCAGCCGCGGUAAUAC
rnacentral:rRNA from 1 species